GAAAUAUCAAAAAAUUAAGCUACUAACUUAAAUUAUAGUGGUUAAUAACCAUUAAUAUUUCU
rnacentral:tRNA from 1 species